rnacentral:rRNA from 1 species
GGGGAAUUGGGGCGUGCUAUACAUGCAGUCGAGCGGACAGAUGGGAGCUUGCUCCCUGAUGUUAGCGGCGGACGGGUGAGUAACACGUGGGUAACCUGCCUGUAAGACUGGGAUAACUCCGGGAAACCGGGGCUAAUACCGGAUGCUUGUUUGAACCGCAUGGUUCAAACAUAAAAGGUGGCUUCGGCUACCACUUACAGAUGGACCCGCGGCGCAUUAGCUAGUUGGUGAGGUAACGGCUCACCAAGGCAACGAUGCGUAGCCGACCUGAGAGGGUGAUCGGCCACACUGGGACUGAGACACGGCCCAGACUCCUACGGGAGGCAGCAGUAGGGAAUCUUCCGCAAUGGACGAAAGUCUGACGGAGCAACGCCGCGUGAGUGAUGAAGGUUUUCGGAUCGUAAAGCUCUGUUGUUAGGGAAGAACAAGUACCGUUCGAAUAGGGCGGUACCUUGACGGUACCUAACCAGAAAGCCACGGCUAACUACGUGCCAGCAGCCGCGGUAAUACGUAGGUGGCAAGCGUUGUCCGGAAUUAUUGGGCGUAAAGGGCUCGCAGGCGGUUUCUUAAGUCUGAUGUGAAAGCCCCCGGCUCAACCGGGGAGGGUCAUUGGAAACUGGGGAACUUGAGUGCAGAAGAGGAGAGUGGAAUUCCACGUGUAGCGGUGAAAUGCGUAGAGAUGUGGAGGAACACCAGUGGCGAAGGCGACUCUCUGGUCUGUAACUGACGCUGAGGAGCGAAAGCGUGGGGAGCGAACAGGAUUAGAUACCCUGGUAGUCCACGCCGUAAACGAUGAGUGCUAAGUGUUAGGGGGUUUCCGCCCCUUAGUGCUGCAGCUAACGCAUUAAGCACUCCGCCUGGGGAGUACGGUCGCAAGACUGAAACUCAAAGGAAUUGACGGGGGCCCGCACAAGCGGUGGAGCAUGUGGUUUAAUUCGAAGCAACGCGAAGAACCUUACCAGGUCUUGACAUCCUCUGACAAUCCUAGAGAUAGGACGUCCCCUUCGGGGGCAAAAUGACAGGUGGUGCAUGGUUGUCGUCAGCUCGUGUCCUGAGAUGUUGGGUUAAGUCCCGCAACGAGCGCAACCCUUGAUCUUAGUUGCCAGCAUUCAGUUGGGCACUCUAAGGUGACUGCCGGUGACAAACCGGAGGAAGGUGGGGAUGACGUCAAAUCAUCAUGCCCCUUAUGACCGGGGCUAACACCGUGCUACAAUGGGACAGAACAAAGGGGCACCGAAACCCCCGAGGUUAAGCCAAUCCCACAAAUUUGUUUCCCAGUUCGGAUCGCAAUCUGCAACUCGACUGGCUGGAAACUGGAAACCCUAAUAAAUCCCGGAAUAACAUGCCCCCGGGGAAAAUAUUUCCCGGGGCCUGUUAACACCCGCCCCCUCACCACCCGAAGUUUGUUACCCCCCAGCACGGGAGGGACCUUUAGAGCCA